rnacentral:rRNA from 1 species
UUAAGCGACUAAGCGUACACGGUGGAUGCCCUGGCAGUCAGAGGCGAUGAAGGACGUGCUAAUCUGCGAAAAGCGUCGGUAAGGUGAUAUGAACCGUUACAGCCGGCGAUGUCCGAAUGGGGAAACCCAGUGCAAUUCGUUGCACUAUCGUUAACUGAAUACAUAGGUUAACGAGGCGAACCGGGGGAACUGAAACAUCUAAGUACCCCGAGGAAAAGAAAUCAACCGAGAUUCCCCCAGUAGCGGCGAGCGAACGGGGAGCAGCCCAGAGUCUGAAUCAGCUUGUGUGUUAGUGGAACGGUCUGGAAAGUCCGACGGUACAGGGUGAUAGUCCCGUACACCAAAAUGCACAGGCUGUGAACUCGAAGAGUAGGGCGGGACACGUGGUAUCCUGUCUGAAUAUGGGGGGACCAUCCUCCAAGGCUAAAUACUCCUGACUGACCGAUAGUGAACCAGUACCGUGAGGGAAAGGCGAAAAGAACCCCGGCGAGGGGAGUGAAAAAGAACCUGAAACCGUGUACGUACAAGCAGUGGGAGCACCUUCGGGUGUGACUGCGUACCUUUUGUAUAAUGGGUCAGCGACUUAUAUUCUGUAGCAAGGUUAACCGUAUAGGGGAGCCGCAGGGAAACCGAGUCUUAACUGGGCGUUAAGUUGCAGGGUAUAGACCCGAAACCCGGUGAUCUAGCCAUGGGCAGGUUGAAGGUUGGGUAACACUAACUGGAGGACCGAACCGACUAAUGUUGAAAAAUUAGCGGAUGACUUGUGGCUGGGGGUGAAAGGCCAAUCAAACCGGGAGAUAGCUGGUUCUCCCCGAAAGCUAUUUAGGUAGCGCCUCGUGAACUCAUCUUCGGGGGUAGAGCACUGUUUCGGCUAGGGGGUCAUCCCGACUUACCAACCCGAUGCAAACUACGAAUACCGAAGAAUGUUAUCACGGGAGACACACGGCGGGUGCUAACGUCCGUCGUGAAGAGGGAAACAACCCAGACCGCCAGCUAAGGUCCCAAAGUCAUGGUUAAGUGGGAAACGAUGUGGGAAGGCACAGACAGCCAGGAUGUUGGCUUAGAAGCAGCCAUCAUUUAAAGAAAGCGUAAUAGCUCACUGGUCGAGUCGGCCUGCGCGGAAGAUGUAACGGGGCUAAACCAUGCACCGAAGCUGCGGCAGCGACACUAUGUGUUGUUGGGUAGGGGAGCGUUCUGUAAGCCUGCGAAGGUNUGCUGUGAGGCAUGCUGGAGGUAUCAGAAGUGCGAAUGCUGACAUAAGUAACGAUAAAGCGGGUGAAAAGCCCGCUCGCCGGAAGACCAAGGGUUCCUGUCCAACGUUAAUCGGGGCAGGGUGAGUCGACCCCUAAGGCGAGGCCGAAAGGCGUAGUCGAUGGGAAACAGGUUAAUAUUCCUGUACUUGGUGUUACUGCGAAGGGGGGACGGAGAAGGCUAUGUUAGCCGGGCGACGGUUGUCCCGGUUUAAGCAUGUAGGCUGAUUGUCCAGGCAAAUCCGGAUAAUCAAGGCUGAGGUGUGAUGACGAGGCACUACGGUGCUGAAGUAACAAAUGCCCUGCUUCCAGGAAAAGCCUCUAAGCAUCAGGUAACAUUAAAUCGUACCCCAAACCGACACAGGUGGUCAGGUAGAGAAUACCAAGGCGCUUGAGAGAACUCGGGUGAAGGAACUAGGCAAAAUGGUGCCGUAACUUCGGGAGAAGGCACGCUGGUGUGUAGGUGAAGUCCCUGCGGAUGGAGCUGAGACCAGUCGAAGAUACCAGCUGGCUGCAACUGUUUAUUAAAAACACAGCACUGUGCAAACACGAAAGUGGACGUAUACGGUGUGACGCCUGCCCGGUGCCGGAAGGUUAAUUGAUGGGGUUAUCCGUAAGGAGAAGCUCUUGAUCGAAGCCCCGGUAAACGGCGGCCGUAACUAUAACGGUCCUAAGGUAGCGAAAUUCCUUGUCGGGUAAGUUCCGACCUGCACGAAUGGCGUAAUGAUGGCCAGGCUGUCUCCACCCGAGACUCAGUGAAAUUGAACUCGCUGUGAAGAUGCAGUGUACCCGCGGCAAGACGGAAAGACCCCGUGAACCUUUACUAUAGCUUGACACUGAACAUUGAGCCUUGAUGUGUAGGAUAGGUGGGAGGCUUUGAAGCGUGGACGCCAGUCUGCGUGGAGCCAACCUUGAAAUACCACCCUUUAAUGUUUGAUGUUCUAACGUUGGCCCCUGACCGGGGUUGCGGACAGUGUCUGGUGGGUAGUUUGACUGGGGCGGUCUCCUCCCAAAGCGUAACGGAGGAGCACGAAGGUUAGCUAAUCCUGGUCGGACAUCAGGAGGUUAGUGCAAUGGCAUAAGCUAGCUUGACUGCGAGCGUGACGGCGCGAGCAGGUGCGAAAGCAGGUCAUAGUGAUCCGGUGGUUCUGAAUGGAAGGGCCAUCGCUCAACGGAUAAAAGGUACUCCGGGGAUAACAGGCUGAUACCGCCCAAGAGUUCAUAUCGACGGCGGUGUUUGGCACCUCGAUGUCGGCUCAUCACAUCCUGGGGCUGAAGUAGGUCCCAAGGGUAUGGCUGUUCGCCAUUUAAAGUGGUACGCGAGCUGGGUUUAGAACGUCGUGAGACAGUUCGGUCCCUAUCUGCCGUGGGCGCUGGAGAAUUGAGGGGGGCUGCUCCUAGUACGAGAGGACCGGAGUGGACGCAUCACUGGUGUUCGGGUUGUCAUGCCAAUGGCACUGCCCGGUAGCUAAAUGCGGAAGAGAUAAGUGCUGAAAGCAUCUAAGCACGAAACUUGCCCCGAGAUGAGUUCUCCCUGAGACUUUAAGUCUCCUGAAGGAACGUUNNNNNNNNNNNNNNNNNNNNNNNNNNNNNNNNNNNNNNNNNNNNNNNNNNNNNNNNNNNGACGUUGAUAGGCCGGGUGUGUAAGCGCAGCGAUGCGUUGAGCUAACCGGUACUAAUGAACCGUGAGGCUUAACCUU